GGGCGUGUAGCUCAGUCUGGGAGAGCACCGGUUUUACACACCGGAGGUCGUCGGUUCGAAACCGGCCGCGCCCA
rnacentral:tRNA from 1 species